GACGAACGCUGGCGGCGUGCCUAAUACAUGCAAGUAGAACGCUGAAGAGAGGAGCUUGCUCUUCUUGGAUGAGUUGCGAACGGGUGAGUAACGCGUAGGUAACCUGCCUUGUAGCGGGGGAUAACUAUUGGAAACGAUAGCUAAUACCGCAUAACAAUGGAUGACACAUGUCAUUUAUUUGAAAGGGGCAAUUGUUCCACUACAAGAUGGACCUGCGUUGUAUUAGCUAGUAGGUGAGGUAAUGGCUCACCUAGGCGACGAUACAUAGCCGACCUGAGAGGGUGAUCGGCCACACUGGGACUGAGACACGGCCCAGACUCCUACGGGAGGCAGCAGUAGGGAAUCUUCGGCAAUGGGGGCAACCCUGACCGAGCAACGCCGCGUGAGUGAAGAAGGUUUUCGGAUCGGAAAGCUCUGUUGUAAGUCAAGAACGGGUGUGAGAGUGGAAAGUUCACACUGUGACGGUAGCUUACCAGAAAGGGACGGCUAACUACGUG
rnacentral:rRNA from 1 species